UACGAAGGGGGCUAGCGUUGUUCGGAAUUACUGGGCGUAAAGGGCGCGUAGGCGGCCUUCUAAGUCGAACGUGAAAUCCCUGGGCUCAACCCAGGAACUGCGUCCGAGACUGGAAGGCUUGAAUCCGGGAGAGGGAUGCGGAAUUCCAGGUGUAGCGGUGAAAUGCGUAGAUAUCUGGAGGAACACCGGUGGCGAAGGCGGCAUCCUGGACCGGUAUUGACGCUGAGGCGCGAAAGCCAGGGGAGCAAACGGG
rnacentral:rRNA from 1 species